UGGGGAAUUUUGCACAAUGGGGGAAACCCUGAUGCAGCGACGCCGCGUGAUUUAGAAGGCCUUCGGGUUGUAAAAAUCUUUUCUAUGGGAAGAAAAUGACAGUACCAUAGGAAUAAGGACCGGCUAAUUACGUGCCAGCAGCCGCGGUAAUACGUAAGGUCCGAGCGUUGUCCGGAAUCAUUGGGCGUAAAGGGUACGUAGGCGGGUAAGCAAGUUAGAAGUGAAAUCCUAUAGCUCAACUCUAGUAAGCUUUUAAAACUGCUCAUCUUGAGGUAUGGAAGGGAAAGUGGAAUUCCUAGUGUAGCGGUGAAAUGCGCAGAUAUUAGGAGGAAUACCGGUGGCGAAGGCGACUUUCUGGCCAUAACCUGACGCUGAGGUACGAAAGCGUGGGUAGCAAACAGG
rnacentral:rRNA from 1 species